rnacentral:rRNA from 1 species
UACGGGGGGGGCAAGCGUUGUUCGGAAUUACUGGGCGUAAAGGGUUCGUAGGUGGCCUGCUAAGUCAGACGUGAAAUCCCUCAGCUUAACUGGGGAACUGCGUCUGAGACUGGCGGGCUUGAGUGCAGGAGAGGAACGCGGAAUUCCAGGUGUAGCGGUGAAAUGCGUAGAUAUCUGGAGGAACACCGGUGGCGAAGGCGGCGUUCUGGACUGUUACUGACACUGAUGAACGAAAGCCAGGGGAGCAAACGGG